rnacentral:rRNA from 1 species
GACGAACGCUGGCGGCGUGCCUAAUACAUGCAAGUCGAACGCUUCUUUCCUCCCGAGUGCUUGCACUCAAUUGGAAAGAGGAGUGGCGGACGGGUGAGUAACACGUGGGUAACCUACCCAUCAGAGGGGGAUAACACUUGGAAACAGGUGCUAAUACCGCAUAACAGUUUAUGCCGCAUGGCAUAAGAGUGAAAGGCGCUUUCGGGUGUCGCUGAUGGUUGGACCCGCGGUGGAUUAGCUAGUUGGCGAGGUAACGGCGCACCAAGGCCACGAUGCAUAGCCGGCCUGAGAGGGUGAUCGGCCACACUGGGACUGAGACACGGCCCAGACUCCUACGGGAGGCAGCAGUAGGGAAUCUUCGGCAAUGGGCGAAAGUCUGACCGAGCAACGCCGCGUGAGUGAAGAAGGUUUUCGGAUCGUAAAGCUCUGUUGUUAGGGAAGAACAAGGACGUUAGUAAAUGAACGUCACCUGACGGUAUCUACACAGAAAGCCACGGCUAACUACGUG